ensembl:misc_RNA Metazoa_SRP Metazoan signal recognition particle RNA
GCCGGCAGUGGUGGCAUGCCCCUGUAAUCCCAGCUACAUGGGAGGCUGAGGUGGGACGAUCACUUGAGUCCAGGAGUUCUGGGCUGCAGUGUGCUAUGCCGAUGAGGUGUCCGCACUAAGUUCGGCAUCAAUAUGGUGACCUCCCAGGAGUGGGGGACCACCAGGUUGCCUAAGGAGGGGUGAACCGGCCCAGGUUGAACACAGCAGUUCAAGAUUAUGUGGGAGCAAGCUUACUUCAUAACAGAAUAUUUUAUAUAUUUGUAAAAUUUAUUUUAUGUCUUU